rnacentral:lncRNA from 1 species
GGUACAGAGUCAAUGUGGAGGCUAUAUACAGGGGGUACCGGUACAGAGUCAAUGUGGAGGCUAUAUACAGGGGGUAUCGGUACAGACUCAAUGUGGAGGCUAUAUACAGGGGGUACCGGUACAGAGUCAAUGUGGAGGCUAUAUACAGUGGGUACCGGUACAGAGUCAAUGUGGAGGCUAUAUACAGUGGGUACCGGUACAGAGUCAAUGUGGAGGCUAUAUACAGGGGGUACCGGUACAGAGUCAAUGUGGAGGCUAUAUACAGGGGGUACCGGUACAGAGUCAAUGUGGAGGCUAUAUACAGGGGGUACCGGUACAGAGUCAAUGCGGAGGCUAUAUACAGGGAGUAGUUGUACAGAGUCAAUGUGGAGGCUAUAUACAGGGGGGUACCGGUACAGAGUCAAUGUGGAGGCUAUAUACAGGUGGGUACCGGUACAGAGUCAAUGUGGAGGCUAUAUACAGGGGGUACCGGUACAGAGUCAAUGUGGAGGCUAUAUACAGGGGGUACCGGUACAGAGUCAAUGUGGAGGCUAUAUACAGUGGGUACCGGUACAGAGUCAAUGUGGAGGCUAUAUACAGGGGGUACCGGUACAGAGUCAAUGUGGAGGCUAUAUACAGGGUAUUACGGUACAGAGUCAAUGUGGAGGCUAUAUACAGGGGGUACCGGUACAGAGUCAAUGUGGAGGCUAUAUACAGGGGGUACCGAUACAGAGUCAAUGUGGAGGAAAUAUACAGGGUGUUACGGUACAGAGUCAAUGUGGAGGCUAUAUACAGGGGGGUACCGGUACAGAGUCAAUGUGG